CUUAGCUCAGCAGGAUAGAGCAUCGGACUUCUAAUCCGGCGGUCGGGGGUUCGAAUCCCUCAGG
rnacentral:tRNA from 1 species